UCUGAGUCCCGGUCGCGCGG
rnacentral:miRNA from 1 species